GAUGAACGCUGGCGGCUUGCCUAAUACAUGCAAGUCGAGCGAAUGGAUUAAGAGCUUGCUCUUAUGAAGUUAGCGGCGGACGGGUGAGUAACACGUGGGUAACCUGCCCAUAAGACUGGGAUAACUCCGGGAAACCGGGGCUAAUACCGGAUAACAUUUUGAACCGCAUGGUUCGAAAUUGAAAGGCGGCUUCGGCUGUCACUUAUGGAUGGACCCGCGUCGCAUUAGCUAGCUGGUGAGGUAACGGCUCACCAAGGCAACGAUGCGUAGCCGACCUGAGAGGGUGAUCGGCCACACUGGGACUGAGAAACGGCCCAGACUCCUACGGGAGGCAGCAGUAGGGAAUCUUCCGCAAUGGACGAAAGUCUGACGGAGCAACGCCGCGUGAGUGAUGAAGGCUUUCGGGUCGUAAAACUCUGUUGUUAGGGAAGAACAAGUGCUAGUUGAAUAAGCUGACACCUUGACGGUACCUAACCAGAAAGCCACGGCUAACUACGUGCCAGCAGCCGCGGUAA
rnacentral:rRNA from 1 species